rnacentral:misc_RNA from 1 species
UAUGUGUGCAUGUUAUGUGUGUGUGUAUGUAAAUAAACUGCUCGGCUUUCUGUUCGUCAUCAGUGAAUGCAAACGUCAGUAAACGGAACUGCGAGAAGGUUUUUCUCAUACGUUUAGCAUGUACCUUGUCAACACUACCACCAGUUUAUAGUAUACCUUGGUUAGUUGACUGUUGACAGUAACAGGUUAGCGUUAAAGAAUGCCUGCUACCAUUAUUUCCCUGGUGCUGCUAAUUGGGGCGAUUGCAUCAACCAUAGACGCAGCUUAUUCAAACAAAAAUACCCGAUUUUUUAAAAUUGCAGCUUUUAAUAUACAAAUAUUUGGUCCCACUAAAUCGUCGAAAGUUGAUGUGAUGGAAAUUAUAACACAAAUUGUUCAAAGAUACGAUAUUAUUCUAAUACAAGAAAUUAGAGACAAAUCAGGAAAAACUCCUGAAAAACUUUUGAAAGCCAUUAACACAAACGGAUACAGUUAUAGUAUGAAAUUAAGCGACAGGCUUGGACGAACAUACAGCAAAGAAAAUUAUGCAUUCUACUAUAGAAAUGACACCGGAAUAACAAUAGUUGACUCAUUUCACUACGACGAUGGUUCGGAGGAAAAGGGAGUCGAUACGUUUGAAAGAGAACCUUUCGUAGUAAAAUUUUCGAUCCCAAGUCUAUCUGUUAGAGAAAUUGGUAUCAUUGGCCUUCAUGUUGACCCAGAUACUGUCGUUCGUGAACUUACUGCCUUAGCUGACGUUUUUAAAGCGGUAGAAAAUAAAUUCAAAAUUGAUACUGUCAUUGCAAUGGGUGAUUUCAACGCCGGGUGCAGAUAUCUAUCAGAGAAACAAGAGAAGUCAUUAUCUCUCAAAUCAGACAAAUACUUCUGGCCAAUAGAAUAUGGCACGGACACAACACUAGCAGCUACAGACUGCUCUUACGACAGAUUUAUUAUUGGUGGUGCAAAAUUAAUUGAGCUAGCAAAAUCUGGUGAUUCUUCGGUAUUUAAGUUUGACUCAGAAUACGAACUCACAAAGGAGAAAUCAAUGAGUGUCAGUGACCAUUACCCAAUUGAACUCUUCCUUCCAACUAAAACCGUUGUCCCUCUUAGUACUACUGCUACUAUUACUACACGCUUAUGAAAUGUUGGGAAACUCGUGGAAAUGGCCAAAAAGUGUAUAGUGCUGCUUUUGGCAAUGAAUCAUCUGGUAUUAAUCCUGUCAACUACAAGCUAAGCUACAGUAUCCUAUAUGGAGCAGUUCUGUUCAUAAUUUUACUGAAAAUGUUAAAUUAGGAACUUUGCUUACAUCACCAAUACCAUUUACAAGGGAAUGAGUGUCAAAACUCCACAUCUGCUGUCCUCCAUGAAGAAUUCACCAAUUUUAUAAGCAAUUAUUUCAAAACAUUCUGUUAAACAUCAUUUCAUUAUAAUAUUUAUUUUGAGGGUUAACUAAAUUUGUUGCACAGUUUAACAUCACCACUGGGACCUCAAGGUGCCAUUAGCAGAGUCAAAACUAUUGCAGCCACAAAAACAAAAGACAAAAUGAACUUACUUGAAGCUAGUGAUGGUGCUAUUAUUAUUUAAAUUUGAGUUUUUAGUUUUUUGACAUUUAUAUUUUAUUUUUUGUUAUAAGUAGUCAUAUUGCUGAAGACUAAGAUCUUUGCAUAUGAACAUUCCAUAAUCCAGAUCAACAAACUGUUCCUUUUCUUCAAGUUUCUUUAAGCACAAGGUUGCAUGUAAUGUGAAAGUUUUCUGCUGUUUUCUACUUCAAGAUACUGCAAGUGAGAAUUGUUAAUAGUUUCACCCAUUCUAAAAGUCACACACACACAUUCAUAUAUACACACACUCACAUACACACGAGGAAGCACAUAAAUGCAAAACAAGGUGAAUAGUCCUCGAAUACCAAAGGUAGAAUCAUAUGGUUUUUUUUAUUAAAGCUGCAAAAACAUCACAAAAGACUGUCUUGAUUCCAGAUGUCUGACGAAUGGGAAUGUGAGACUCGGAGUCACUGUUUUUUUGUGAUGCUUUUGUGGCUUUAAUAAAAAAA